ensembl:lncRNA
AUUUUUCUCUUCGCAAAUCCCCCAUUUAAGCGAAAAUCCCGCGUUUUCUCUUCGCAAAUCCCCCAUUUAAGCGAAAAUCACGCGUUUUCUCUUCGCAAAUCCCCCAGUUAACCCGAAAAUCACGCGUUUUCUCUUCGCAAAUCCCCCAUUUAAGCAAAAAUCACGCGUUUUCUCUUCGCAAAUCCCCCAUUUAACCCGAAAAUCACGCGUUUUCUCUUCACAAAUCCCCCAUUUAAGCCGAAAAUCACGCGUUUUCUCUUCGCAAAUCCCCCAUUUAACCAAAAAUCACAUAGUUUUCUCUUCGCAAAUCCCCCAUUUAACCCGAAAAUCACGCGUUUUCUCUUCGCAAAUCCCCCAUUUAACCGAAAAUCACGCGUUUUCUCUUCGCAAAUCCCCCAUUUAACCGAAAAUCACGCGUUUUCUCUUCAGCAAAUCCCCCAUUUAACCGAAAAUCACGCGUUUUCUCUUUGCAAAUCCCCCAUUUAAGCGAAAAUCACGCGUUUUCUCUUCGCAAAUCCCCCAUUUAACCGAAAAUCACGCGUUUUUCUCUUCGCAAAUCCCCCAUUUAAGCGAAAAUCACGCGUUUUCUCUUCGAGAAUCCCCCAUUUUAACCCGAAAAUCACGCGUUUUCUCUUCGAGAAUCCCCCAUUUAAGCGAAAAUCACGCGUUUUCUCUUCGCAAAUCCCCCAUUUAAGCGAAAAUCACGCGUUUUCUCUUCGCAAAUCCCCCAUUUAAGCGAAAAUCACGCGUUUUCUCUUCGAGAAUCCCCCAUUUAAGCGAAAAUCACGCGUUUUCUCUUCGCAAAUCCCCCAUUUAAGCGAAAAUCACGCGUUUUCUCUUCGAGAAUCCCCCAUUUAAGCCGAAAAUCACGCGUUUUCUCUUCGCAAAUCCCCCAUUUAAGCGAAAAUCACGCGUUUUCUCUUCGAGAAUCCCCCAUUUAAGCCGAAAAUCACGCGUUUUCUCUUCGCAAAUCCCCCAUUUAAGCGAAAAUCACGCGUUUUCUCUUCGAGAAUCCCCCAUUUAAGCGAAAAUCACGCGUUUUCUCUUCGCAAUCCCCCAUUUAAGCAAAAAUCACGCGUUUUCUCUUCGCAAAUCCCCCAUUUAAGCGAAAAUCACGCGUUUUCUCUUCGCAAAUCCCCCAUUUAACCCGAAAAUCACGCUGUUUUCUCUUCGCAAAUCCCCGAUUUAAGCGAAAAUCACGCGUUUUCUCUUCGAGAAUCCCCCAUUUAAGCCGAAAAUCACGCGUUUUCUCUUCGCAAAUCCCCCAUUUAAGCGAAAAUCACGCGUUUUCUCUUCGAGAAUCCCCCAUUUA